rnacentral:misc_RNA from 1 species
GUUCCGUAGGUGAACCUGCGGAAGGAUCAUUAUUGUAUACACGAGGUGCGAGGGCUGUCGCUGACCCGAAAGGUCGUGCACGCCCGAGUGCCCUCACACACAUCCAUCUCACCCCUAUGUGCACCACCGCGUGGGUCCCCCUUUGGCUUGUUCGGAGGGGGGCUUACGUUUUCACACAAACUUUGUAUGCAGUGUAGAAUGUAUUUUUUGUUUUUGCGAUCACGCAAUCAAUACAACUUUCAACAACGGAUCUCUUGGCUCUC